UACGGAGGGUGCAAGCGUUAUCCGGAUUCACUGGGUUAAAGGGUGCGUAGGUGGGUUGGUAAGUCAGUGGUGAAAUCCCGAGCUUAACUUGGGAACUGCCAUUGAUACUAUUAAUCUUGAAUACCGUGGAGGUUAGCGGAAUAUGUCAUGUAGCGGUGAAUGCUUAGAUAUGACAUAGAACACCAAUUGCGAAGGCAGCUGGCUACACGAAUAUUGACACUGAUGCACGAAAGCGUGGGAUCAAACAGG
rnacentral:rRNA from 1 species